rnacentral:tRNA from 1 species
GGGUGAUUAGCUCAGUUGGUAGAGCGCUUCGUUUACACCGAAGAUGUCGGGAGUUCGAGUCUCUAUCACCCACCA